UUGAUCCUGGCUCAGAUUGAACGCUGGCGGCAGGCCUAACACAUGCAAGUCGAACGGUAACAGGAAGCAGCUUGCUGCUUUGCUGACGAGUGGCGGACGGGUGAGUAAUGUCUGGGAAACUGCCUGAUGGAGGGGGAUAACUACUGGAAACGGUAGCUAAUACCGCAUAACGUCGCAAGACCAAAGAGGGGGACCUUCGGGCCUCUUGCCAUCGGAUGUGCCCAGAUGGGAUUAGCUAGUAGGUGGGGUAAAGGCUCACCUAGGCGACGAUCCCUAGCUGGUCUGAGAGGAUGACCAGCCACACUGGAACUGAGACACGGUCCAGACUCCUACGGGAGGCAGCAGUGGGGAAUAUUGCACAAUGGGCGCAAGCCUGAUGCAGCCAUGCCGCGUGUAUGAAGAAGGCCUUCGGGUUGUAAAGUACUUUCAGCGGGGAGGAAGGGAGUAAAGUUAAUACCUUUGCUCAUUGACGUUACCCGCAGAAGAAGCACCGGCUAACUCCGUGCCAGCAGCCG
rnacentral:rRNA from 1 species